rnacentral:misc_RNA from 1 species
GAUGAAGAACGAGCGAAAUGCGAUAAGUAAUGCGAAUUGCAGAAUUCCAGUGAGUCAUCGAAUCUUUGAACGCACAUUGCGCCCUUUGGUAUUCCGAAGGGCAUGCCUGUUCGAGCGUCAUUAUCACCCCUCAAGCCCUCGGCUUGGUGUUGGACGGUUUGGUGGAGGCCCCCUCGGGGGCUCCUGCCCCUCCCAAAGACAAUGACGGCGGCCUCGUUGGACCCCCGGUACACUGAGUUCUUCACGGGACACGUAUCGGACACAUGGGUUUACGGGACACGGUCUGCCUCCCCUCAGGGAGAAUCUUUCUAAGGUUGACCUCGGAUCAGGUAGGGAUACCCGCUGAACUUAAGCAUAUCAAUAAGCGGAGGA